rnacentral:rRNA from 1 species
GAUGAACGCUGGCGGCGUGCCUAAUACAUGCAAGUCGAGCGAACAGACGAGGAGCUUGCUCCUCUGACGUUAGCGGCGGACGGGUGAGUAACACGUGGAUAACCUACCUAUAAGACUGGGAUAACUUCGGGAAACCGGAGCUAAUACCGGAGAAUAUAUUGAACCGCAUGGUUCAAUAGUGAAAGACGGUUGUGCUGGCACUUAUAGAUGGAUCCGCGCCGCAUUAGCUAGUUGGUAAGGUAACGGCUUACCAAGGCAACGAGGCGUAGCCGACCUGAGAGGGUGAUCGGCCACACUGGAACUGAGACACGGUCCAGACUCCUACGGGAGGCAGCAGUGGGGAAUCUUCCGCAAUGGGCGAAAGCUUGACGGAGCAACGCCGCGUGAGUGAUGAAGGUCUUCGGAUCGUAAAACUCUGUUAUUAGGGAAGAACAAAUGUGUAAGUAACUAUGCACGUCUUGACGGUACCUAAUCAGAAAGCCACGGCUAACUACGUG